rnacentral:rRNA from 1 species
UCUUGGUCAUUUAGAGGAAGUAAAAGUCGUAACAAGGUCUCCGUUGGUGAACCAGCGGAGGGAUCAUUACCGAGUUUACAAACUCCCAAACCCCAUGUGAACCUUAACCUCAACGUUGCCUCGGCGGGGACUCGCCCCGGCGGCGCCGCCCAGCGCGGCGCCCCGGACACCAAGGCGCCCGCCGCAGGACCCCCGAAGAAACUCUUCUACUGCAUUUGACAGGUGGAAUUCCUCUGAGUGGACUCUUCUCCCCGCGACAGCGGUGGGCGAAUGAAUCAAAACUUUCAACAACGGAUCUCUUGGCUCUGGCAUCGAUGAAGAACGCAGCGAAAUGCGAUAAGUAAUGUGAAUUGCAGAAUUCAGUGAAUCAUCGAAUCUUUGAACGCACAUUGCGCCCGCCAGCACUCUGGCGGGCAUGCCUGUCCGAGCGUCAUUUCGACCCUCAGGGCCCCGAGAGGGGACCUGGCGUUGGGGGACGGCACCCGCGGGCCAACCAGCCCGCCGCCGCCCCCGAAAUGCAGUGGCGGCCACGUCGCAGCGACCUCCGCGUAGUAGCAACAAACACCUCGCGGCAAGGGAGCGCGGCGCGGCCACGCCGUGAAAACGACGCCGCAACUCGCGGACUCAACCCCCCCUAGAGUUGACCUCGGAUCAGGUAGGGAAUACCCGCUGAAUUUAAGCAUAUC